rnacentral:tRNA from 1 species
GCCUGGGUGGCUCAGUCAGUUGAGCGUCCGACUUCGGCUCAGGUCAUGAUCUCAUGGUUGGUGGGUUCGAGCCCCGCAUCGGGCU